GUGGGGGAUAUUGCACAAUGGGGGAAACCCUGAUGCAGCGACGCCGCGUGGGCGAGGAAGUAUUUCGGUAUGUAAAGCCCUAUCAGCAGGGAAGAAAAAAGACGGUACCUGAGUAAGAAGCCCCGGCUAAAUACGUGCCAGCAGCCGCGGUAAUACGUAUGGGGCAAGCGUUAUCCGGAUUUACUGGGUGUAAAGGGAGCGUAGGCGGCAAGGCAAGUCUGGUGUGAAAUACCGGGGCCCAACCCCGGGGCUGCACUGGAAACUGUCUUGCUGGAGUGCCGGAGGGGUAAGCGGAAUUCCUAGUGUAGCGGUGAAAUGCGUAGAUAUUAGGAGGAACACCAGUGGCGAAGGCGGCUUACUGGACGGCAACUGACGCUGAGGCUCGAAAGCGUGGGGAGCAAACAGGA
rnacentral:rRNA from 1 species